rnacentral:rRNA from 1 species
GUAUGAGACGCGGAGGACAUUACAGAGUUCUAAAAGACUCCCAAAACCAUUGUGAACGUACCCGUCAGCGUUGCCUCGGCGGGCGGCCCCUCCCUGGGGCCGCUGCCUCCCUCGGGGGGUGCCCGCCGGCGUACCAAAACUCUUUUGUAUUUUAGUGGCCUCUCUGAGAAAACAAGCAAAUAAGUUAAAACUUUCAACAACGGAUCUCUUGGUUCUGGCAUCGAUGAAGAACGCAGCGAAAUGCGAUAAGUAAUGUGAAUUGCAGAAUUCAGUGAAUCAUCGAAUCUUUGAACGCACAUUGCGCCCGCCAGUACUCUGGCGGGCAUGCCUGUUCGAGCGUCAUUUCAACCCUCAAGCCCUGCUUGGUGUUGGGGUCCUACGGCUGCCGUAGGCCCUGAAAGCUAGUGGCGGGCUCGCUAUAACUCCGAGCGUAGUAGUAAAAUAUCUCGCUAGGGAGGUGUCGCGGGUUCCGGCCGUGAAAGCCCAUCUUUUACACAAGGUUGACCUCGGAUCAGGUAGGAAUACCCGCUGAACUUAAGCAUAUCAAUAAGCGAGAGAAA